rnacentral:rRNA from 1 species
AGUGAACGCUGGCGGUAGGCCUAACACAUGCAAGUCGAACGGCAGCACAGGAGAGCUUGCUCUCUGGGUGGCGAGUGGCGGACGGGUGAGGAAUACAUCGGAAUCUACUUUUUCGUGGGGGAUAACGUAGGGAAACUUACGCUAAUACCGCAUACGACCUACGGGUGAAAGCAGGGGACCUUCGGGCCUUGCGCGAUUGAAUGAGCCGAUGUCGGAUUAGCUAGUUGGCGGGGUAAAGGCCCACCAAGGCGACGAUCCGUAGCCGGUCUGAGAGGAUGAUCAGCCACACUGGAACUGGGACACGGUCCAGACUCCUACGGGAGGCAGCAGUGGGGAAUAUUGGACAAUGGGCGCAAGCCUGAUCCAGCCAUACCGCGUGGGUGAAGAAGGCCUUCGGGUUGUAAAGCCCUUUUGUUGGGAAAGAAAUCCAGCUGGCUAAUACCCGGUUGGGACGACGGUACCCAAAGAAUAAGCACCGGCUAACUUCGUGCCAGCCGCCGCAGUAA